rnacentral:lncRNA from 1 species
UUCUCCACAAAUAUAUAUAACCGUAUAAGAAGCCUAUUCUUCGUCUACCUUUUUUGGGGGCAUGUUCAUUCAAAUAAAUGUUAUCUUUUUCUGCCCCACUAGCGGUGUCGUAAGUGCUUGCAUCACUAAGAAAUGAUCUACAAUUAUAGGUACGUAUUAACACUCUUGUUACUCUUUUAUUUUUGUCAAAUGAUAAUUCAUUAAAAGGCAAAAUGGACCUCACAACUCAGCUGUAUUGAGUCCAAUUACAAGUAGAGUUAACCAACUAACAAACACUAAAAGAUUAAAGAAUAAACAUAAAUCUCUACCAAGUCUCCCUCUUCAUUCUCUUCACCUCUCUAUCUCUCUCACAAUUUAUUUUUUAAAAACGAAUAUUUAAGGGAGAGAUUAAGAAAGAGAAUAAUUGAUGAGAGAGAUUAAGAGUGCAAAGGAAGAGUUGGAGAGAUAAUCUAUUUUCGAUCAUGAUUACAUGUUGUCAGACGCAAAAUUCACAAUAAAAGAUUAAACAAUGAGCAUAAAGUGGCAUUGGGAGCGCUCACUAGUGUUUGUGGUCUUACUUGUAAAAAAGACUAAGUAAAACAAACAAAAUAACAUAUCAUGAAUUGGAUCCUCUCCACCUCUCUAUCUUUCUAAUAAUUUAUUUUAAAAAAUAUUAAAGAGAGAAAAAAGUAAGAAAGAGAAGAAAAAUUGACGAGAGAUAGAGAGUGUAGAUGAAGAGUUGGGGGAGAUGAUCUAUUUACGAUCACAACAUGUUGCUAGACACAAAACACACGUUAGAAGAUUAAACAAUGAACAUAAGUGAUAUUGGGAGCACUCACUAGUACUUGUGGUAUGGCUUGUAAAAAAUGACUAAACAAAACAAACAAAAGAGCAUAUCAUGACUUGGAUCCUCUCCACAAAGACCGACUCUCCAACUUUGUAUCUCAUAAUUUAUUUUUUAAAAAAUAUCGAAGAUAGAAAAAAAAAAGUAAGAAAAAAAAUAAUUGAUGAGAAAGAAAGAGAGGUAGAGAGAGUGCAGAGGAAGAGUUGGGGAAGAUAUCUAUUUUCGAUCAUGAUCACAUGAUAAAAAAUACACACUAAAAGAUUAAACAAUGAGUAUAAAGUGACAUUAUAAGCACUAACUAGUAGGGAUGAGAAUAAGCUAGGCCGUCCGUCAGGGCCUAUGGCCUGGCCUGGCCUGACCUACUUAUUGUCUGGCCUGGCCUGACCUAUUUAAUAAAAAGGCUAGGCUCAUGCCAUUUUUAAAGCCUAUUUAUUUAAAUAGGCCAGACUCGGCUUAUAAAAAAGCUUAUUAGGCCUGAAAGGCCGACCUAUAUAUAUUUUAUUAUUUAUUAAUAUUAUAUUAAUAAUAUUAUUUCCUAUUUUAAAUUUUAUCAAUUAAGCAAUUAUUCGGUAAACAUUCCAUAUUCAGUAGUUGUUCCAUAUUCGGUAGAAUUCCAUAUUUGGUAGUCAUUUCAUAUUUGGUAGUUGUUCAAUUAGUCAAUCACUCAACAAUAUUCCAUAUUUGUUUAAGAGGUAAUAAUGAAUGUGUUUGUUUCAAAAAAAAAUCUAUUAUUUGACACAAAAAAUUAUUUUUUAGGGUUUAAAGGAUGUUUGUUUCAUAUUUUUUAAAAAUUAUUUUAAAUAGGCUUUAAAAUAGGCUUCCAAGCCUGGCCAUACUUUUAAAAAUGUCAGGCCAGACCGAAAAAAAGCUUAUGAUAGGCCGUGGGCCAGACUUAGGCCUUUUAGGGUUUAAAGGAUGUUUGUUUCAUAUUUUUUAAAAAUUACUUUAAAUAGACUUCCAGGCCAGGCCAAACUUUUAAAAAGGUCAGGCCAGACCAGACUUUUAAAAAGGCCAGGCCAGGCCGAAAAAAAAGCCUAUGAUAGGUCGUAGGCCAAACUUAGGCCUAAAAAAUAAAUCGUAGGCCAGACUUAGGCCUUUCAAAGUCUGGUCUGACCUGACCUAUUCCCACCUUUACUAACUAGUACUUGUGGUCUCACUCAUAAAAAUGAUUAAAUAAAGAAAAGAAAAAAACAAAUCAUGAUUGAAUUAUCUCCACCAAGUCUUCUUUUCCACUUUCUCAACCUCUCUAUCUCUCUCCUAAUUUAUCUUAAAAAAAUAUUGAAAAGAGACUAAAAGUAAGAAUAAUUAAUGAGAGAGAUAGAGAGGUAGAGAGAAUGUAGAAAGAGAAUUGGAGAAAAUGAUUCAUUUUUUAUCAUGAUCAAAUGUUAUCAAACACAAAAUACACACUAAAAGAUUAAACAAUGAGUCUGACAUCAUUAGUUACAAAAUGAAAGGAGUUACGUAUAUAUUAAUAAUAUUAAAUGAAAAAUGAUUAGUAAAUAAAUUUUUUCUAUUAACAAAAAAAGGUAUAUCUAAAUUAUAUAUAUAUAUAUAUUAUACUUUUAAAAUUGUGAAGUAAUCUAGGUUACUAAAUACAUCUAUUUUGAUGGAAAAAUAAAACUACAAGGUAGUAAUCAACUAAACUAUAAAUUUAUAAGCCGUGUGGUACAUACUCUUAAUAUUAAAAGAAAUGAAAUUAUUUAAAACUUUUAUUAGUGAAGUACAAAAACAUAAAGCAACUACUAUAGCAUAAAGAAAUACACAUGACUCAUGAAGAUACAAAUGCUUAUAUAUUACUCAAGAAGAUGCCAAGAUUUUUUCAAAAAGAGGCUUCAAAAAAGCCACGAACUUCUCUUGGUGAGGGGUAUUUUCUUUGAUGACUUGAACAUCCUUGAAAUUAUUAAACCAUAAAUGCAAAUGGGGGAACCUCUCAGUUUGCAAAAUUUCCACUUUAAAUGUAAUUUCCAAAACCUCAAUAAAUUUGACAAAAGAUCCGAGAGCUAUGUCUACAAUGUUAAUGUUGUCUCCUCCAUAAAAUUUAUUUUCAUCUUUCAAACAUUGAUCCUCAACAACUCCUAGCCGUUCCCAUAGAUUCUCUUUGGCCUUCUCUCGGUCUUCACUACUUUUGCUACGAAUGAUUGCUGAAAGUGUCGAAAUCUAUAAGUUUGAAUCAAGAUGAGAUUGUUAGAACAUAGAAAGUAAUGUUUAAGAUACAUGGUAAACUCUAUUAGUUAUAGCAAUAAGCAGAACAUGACUUGAAAAGUAAGUAAACACGCACACACAUACAUAAUAAUUAAAUUUUAAAAAAUUGUACCAUUUCAUCGAUAUAUUUAACCCAAAAUCGGGCUUGAGCUCUAUCAUAAGGAUCAGCUGGAAGCAAUGAGUUUUGUGGCCAUAUCUCAUCAAUGUAUUCAACAAUGAUCAUUGACUCACAUAUGGGUUUUCCAUCAUGAACUAGCACCGGAGUCUUCUUGUGUACUGGGUUAUAUUGAAGAAGUUGUGGACUCUUAUUGAAGCGAUCUUCCUCUAUGUUUUCAUAUGGUAUAUCCUUUAAAUUUAAG